CCUACGGGUGGCAGCAGUGAGGAAUAUUGGUCAAUGGACGAGAGUCUGAACCAGCCAAGUAGCGUGAAGGAUGACUGCCCUAUGGGUUGUAAACUUCUUUUAUAAAGGAAUAAAACGAGGCACGUGUGCCUUUUUGCAUGUACUUUAUGAAUAAGGAUCGGCUAACUCCGUGCCAGCAGCCGCGGUAAUACGGAGGAUCCGAGCGUUAUCCGGAUUUAUUGGGUUUAAAGGGAGCGUAGAUGGGUUGUUAAGUCAGUUGUGAAAGUUUGCGGCUCAACCGUAAAAUUGCAAUUGAUACUGGCAGUCGUGAGUACAGUUGAGGUAGGCGGAAUUCGUGGUGUAGCGGUGAAAUGCUUAGAUAUCACGAAGAACCCCGAUUGCGAAGGCAGCUUACUAAACUGUGACUGACAUUGAUGCUCGAAAGUGUGGGUAUCAAACAGGAUUAGAUACCCGGGUAGUG
rnacentral:rRNA from 1 species